UAGAUACCUCCCAUCACACAUGUAUCCGCCUGAGAACUACGAGCACAAACGCUUAAAACUCUAAGGACUUGGCGGUGCCCCAAACCCACCUAGAGGAGCCUGUUCUAUAAUCGAUAAUCCACGAUUCACCCAACCACCCCUUGCCAGCACAGCCUACAUACCGCCGUCGCCAGCCCACCUCUAAUGAAAGAACAACAGUGAGCUCAAUAGCCCCUCGCUAAUAAGACAGGUCAAGGUAUAGCCUAUGGGGUGGGAGAAAUGGGCUACAUUUUCUAACAUAGAACAAACGAAAAAGGACGUGAAACCCGCCCUUAGAAGGAGGAUUUAGCAGUAAAGUGAGAUCAUACCCCCUAAGCUCACUUUAAGACGGCUCUGAGGCACGUACACACCGCCCGUCACCCUCA
rnacentral:rRNA from 1 species